rnacentral:rRNA from 1 species
UACGGAGGGAGCAAGCGUUGUUCGGAUUUACUGGGCGUAAAGCGCGCGUAGGCGGCUCCGCAAGUCGGCCGUGAAAUCUCCGGGCUCAACUCGGAGGGGUCGGGCGAGACUGCGGGGCUCGAGGUGGGCAGAGGGCAGUGGAAUUCCGGGUGUAGUGGUGGAAUGCGUAGAGAUCCGGAGGAACACCAGUGGCGAAGGCGGCUGCCUGGGCCUGGCCUGACGCUGAGGCGCGAAAGCGUGGGGAGCGAACAGG